rnacentral:tRNA from 1 species
GAUCGAUUAGCUCAGUUGGUUAGAGCGUGGUGCUAAUAUCUUCCGAUAUUCUGAUACGCCAAGGUCAAGGGUUCGACCCCCCUAUUGAUCA